GACGAACGCUGGCGGCGUGCCUAAUACAUGCAAGUCGAACGAGAGCGACCGGUGCUUGCACUGGUCAAUCUAGUGGCGAACGGGUGAGUAACACGUGGGUAACCUGCCCAUCAGAGGGGGAUAACAUUCGGAAACGGAUGCUAAAACCGCAUAGGUCCUUUAACCGCAUGGUUGAAGGAGGAAAAGAGGCGCAAGCUUCUGCUGAUGGAUGGACCCGCGGUGCAUUAGCUAGUUGGUGAGGUAACGGCUCACCAAGGCCGUGAUGCAUAGCCGACCUGAGAGGGUGAUCGGCCACAUUGGGACUGAGACACGGCCCAAACUCCUACGGGAGGCAGCAGUAGGGAAUCUUCCGCAAUGGACGCAAGUCUGACGGAGCAACGCCCCGUGAGUGAAGAAGGUUUUCGGAUCGUAAAACUCUGUUGUUAGAGAAGAACAAGUGCUAGAGUAACUGUUAGCGC
rnacentral:rRNA from 1 species